UUUAACUGAGCGUUCAGUUACUUGACGUAGACCCGAAACCGGGCGACCUACCCAUGAGCAGGAUGAAGCGAAAGUAAAAUUUCGUGGAGGUCCGAACCCACGAGCGUUGAAAAGCUCGGGGAUGACUUGUGGGUAGCGGUGAAAUUCCAAUCGAGCCCGGAGAUAGCUGGUUCUCCCCGAAAUAGCUUUAGGGCUAGCCUCAAGGUGAGAGAUACGGAGGUAGAGCACUGAAUGUCCUAGGGGGUAUUGCACCUACCGAAGACUAUCAAACUCCGAAUGCCGUCAUCUUAUACUUGGGAGUCAGACUGUGGGUGAUAAGAUUCAUAGUCGAAAGGGCAACAGCCCAGAUCGUCAGCUAAGGUCCCUAAAUGUAAGUUAAGUGGUAAAGGAUGUGGGAUUGCACAGACAACCAGGAUGUUGGCUUAGAAGCAGCCACUCAUUCAAAGAGUGCGUAAUAGCUCACUGGUCGAGUGAUCCUGCGCCGAAGAUUUCCGGGGCUAAAACUUACUACCGAAGCUACGGCAUCAGUAAUGAUGGGUAGGGGAGCUUCCCAUACGGGUUGAAGCAUGACCGUAAGGACAUGUGGACAGUAUGGGAGUGAGAAUGUUGGCAUGAGUAGCGAGAU
rnacentral:rRNA from 1 species